rnacentral:RNase_P_RNA from 1 species
GCGGAUGGCCGGACGGCCGCGGACCGAUCGGUUCGAGGAAAGUCCGGACUCCAUGAGACGACGGUGCCGGGUAACGCCCGGCCGGGGCAACCCGAGGGAAAGCGCCACAGAGAACAGACCGCCCGGGCCGCAAGGGACGGGUAAGGGUGAAACGGUGGGGUA